rnacentral:rRNA from 1 species
GGCCUUUUGAAUUUAAUUUAAGGUCUGACCUGCCCAGUGAUGAAUUUAACGGCCGCGGUAUAUUGACCGUGCAAAGGUAGCAUAAUCAUUAGUCUUUUAAUAGAGGGCUGGAAUGAAUGGUUUAACGAGGAACUAGCUGUCUCAUUUUAUUUGUUUUAGAAUUUAAUUUUUUAGUUAAAAAGCUAAAAUUUUAUUGGAAGACGAGAAGACCCUAUAGAUCUUUAUAUAAUUUUAUUUAUUUAUUUAUAUAUUAAUGUAAUUAUAUUUAAAUUAUAUUUUGUUGGGGUGACAAAAAUAUAUAAUUAACUUUUUCAUUUAUUUACCAUUUAUAUAUGAGUAUUAGAUCCAUUUUUAGUGAUUGUUAGAAUAAGUUACCUUAGGGAUAACAGCGUAAUCCUCCUCCAGAGUUCAUAUUUACAGGAGGGCUUGCGACCUCGAUGUUGGAUUAAGAUAAUAAUUAGGUGUAGCCGCUUAAUUUAUAGGUCUGUUCGACCUUUAAAUUCUU